UACGUAGGAUCCGAGCGUUGUCCGGAUUUACUAGGUGUAAAGGGUGCGCAGGCGGACUGGUAAGUCAGUGGUGAAAUCUCGUCGCUUAACGACGAAACUGCCUUUGAUACUAUCAGUCUUGAAUCCGGUAGAGAUCUGUGGAAUUCCGAGUGUAGCAGUGAAAUGUGUAGAUAUUCGGAAGAACACCAGUGGCGAAGGCAGCAGAUUGGGCCGGUAUUGACGCUCAGGCACGAAAGCAUGGGGAUCAAACAGG
rnacentral:rRNA from 1 species